AAACCCUAGAGGCUUCGCGUGACUUUCAUUCUUCUUCUUCCUCAUCGCGAAAGGCCACCGCCUCGCGCCAUUCACCUCCGUAUCACCUCCGCGUCUCUUCGACGACGACGAAACCUUCGACGACGAAACCUUCGACGACGAAACCUUCGACGACGAAACCUUCGACGACGACGACGACCACCGCCGUAUCACCUCCGCGUCUCUUCCGAUUCGACGACAGCAGCUUCGACUACAACCGCCGCGUCUCUUCCGACGACAACCGCCUGACGACAACCGCCGCAUCACCUCAUUCAUCGACGACUACCCAGCCGGAGCAGAAGCAAUUGAAGGAAUAGUGAUGGAUUCAAGUGAGGAAGGAGAAUCACAUUUGAAUGCCAAAGUCUUUUCAACAAUGACCAAUCUUAGGAUAUUGAAAAUAAACAAUGUUUCCCUUUGUGGAGAACUUGACUAUCUCUCUGAUCAGCUGAGGUUCCUCAGUUGGCAUGGCUACCCUUCAGAGUAUUUACCUCCAAAUUUCCAUCCCAAAAGCAUAUUAGAACUUGAAUUGCCCAACAGCUUCAUUCACCAUCUUUGGAAAGGCUCAAAGAGAUUGGACAGAUUGAAGACAGUAAAUCUUAGUGACUCUCAGUUCAUAUCCAAGACACCUGAUUUUUCAGGGGUUCCAAAUCUAGAAAGAUUGAUCUUGAGUGGUUGUGUAAGACUGACAAAACUUCAUCAAUCUCUAGGUUCUUUAAAGCACCUAAUUCAAUUAGAUCUUAAGAAUUGCAAAGCCCUAAAAGCUAUUCCUUUCAGUAUUAGCUUAGAAUCACUCAUAGUUUUAAGUCUUUCAAACUGUUCAAGCCUAAAAAAUUUCCCAAAUAUUGUUGGAAACAUGAAAAACUUAACAGAGCUUCAUUUAGAUGGAACAUCCAUACAAGAAUUACAUCCAUCAAUAGGACACUUAACAGGACUUGUCCUAUUAAAUCUUGAAAAUUGCACAAAUCUUCUAGAACUUCCAAACACAAUUGGUUCUUUAAUAUGCUUAAAAACUCUCACGUUACAUGGCUGCUCAAAACUUACUAGAAUUCCAGAGAGUUUAGGAUUUAUUGCUAGCUUGGAGAAGCUUGAUGUUACUAAUACUUGUAUAAAUCAAGCUCCAUUGUCCCUUCAACUUUUGACGAAUCUCGAAAUACUAGAUUGUCGAGGUCUUUCUCGUAAAUUCAUCCAUUCAUUAUUUCCAUCAUGGAAUUCUUCAUCAUAUUCUUCUUAAUUAGGAUUGAAGUUGACAUAUUGUUUAUCUAGUUUUUGUUCAAUGAAGAAAUUGAAUUUGAGUGAUUGUAGUUUAAAGGAUGGGGAUAUACCAGAUAACCUUCAAAGCUUGCCUUCACUUGAAAUUCUUGAUUUAAGUGGAAACAGUUUACCUUCACUUGAAAUUCUUGAUUUAAGUGGAAACAGUUUUAGUUUUCUACCUAAAAGUGUUGAACAUCUUGUGAAUCUUAGAACUCUUUAUUUGGUAAAUUGUAAAAGGCUUCAAGAAUUGCCAAAACUCCCACUUAGUGUUCGUAGUGUAGAAGCAAGAGAUUGUGUUUCACUUAAGGAAUAUUACAAUCAAGAAAAGCAAAUGCCUUCAAGUUCAACAGGUAUGGCUGUUAUAAGUUGUCCUAUAACGGAUGAAGAACAUAAUUUCAAGAUCGAUAGAGUCAAUUUGUCAAGUAUUCAUCUUCGUACAAUGGUUCAAAGAUGUACUUGUAUUCGUCUGUUAGUGGUUCGAAAGAAAAUAUGCAGUAUGUCUUUGUAGAUCCGUCCCUGAUCUCUUCUGGAAACACACAAGAAUCUCGAAUUCGAAACUUGUGUAGUAGAUUGAUGGUGUCCAAACCCGACCAAGUAGUUCUUGCUCCUUUUAAUCCCGGGGGUCAUUGGGCACUGCUUGCUAUAAAUGCGUAUGAGGAUACAGUGUUUUACCUUGACUCGCUAAGGACAACAUCAAAAGCAACUACAAGAUAUGUAACCGACACAGCAAUAGCAAUAUUUCACUCGCAAAAGAACAUUAAUAAAAGCAGGAAACAAACUUUAUGGCGAACAGUAAAGUGUCCACUACAAGUCGGGAGCACUACGUGUGGAUACUAUGUCAUGAAGUAUAUGAGAGAAAUUGUAAAUAGGGGAAGCAUUGUCAUCUCGGAUUCGAUUGAUACACGAAAAUCAUACUCACAAGCCGAGUUAGAUGAGGUGCGGGUUGAGUUGGUAGAGUUUUUGGGUUCGUACAUGUGAUCUAGGACUUAUGACGUCAUCUCUGCAAAAGGAAAUUAACUUUAUUUUUUGUGGCUGAUUUUUUGAAAUGUUCAUAUGGAGGGUAGAGGUUAAUUGAUAUACUUUUGAGACUUUGUAGAGGAUUAGAGUUUAGGUGAAUUGUUGAUAGGUGAACUGUUCAUAUAUGUAGGGGGUUGCCAUUAUGAAAGUUUAUGGAUUGGGGAUGAUAUACUUUUGGGCUAGGUUAGUUAAAUAGAUGAUGUUUAGUUCAAUUCUUGGAAAUCUGUUGAAAUUGUUUAUAUAUAUAUAUAUAUUGGUUUUGUAAAUGAUAUAUAAAUAUGAUGCAAAGUUUUGGAAA